AACAACGAUCUUAUUAUACAAUAACAUCCGCCAGAGAACUACAAGCGAAAAGCUAAAAACCCAAAGGACUUGGCGGUGCUUCAAACCAACCUAGAGGAGUCUGUCCUAUAAUCGAUACCCCACGCUUAACCUUACCUCCCCUUGCCAACCAGCCUAUAUACCGCCGUCGUCAGCCUACCUUGUAAAAGAAACAAAGUGAGCAAAAUAGUUAACAACAAGCACGUCAGGUCAAGGUGUAGCACACGAGAAGGUAGAGAUGGACUACAUUUUCACACGAACAUACGGAUAAUUCGUUGAAACACCUAUUUAAAGGCGGAUUUAGUAGUAGUACAGAGAAGAAAACCAAUACGAAACAUGCUCUGAAGCGCGCACACACCGCCC
rnacentral:rRNA from 1 species